rnacentral:rRNA from 1 species
UACGUAGGGUGCGAGCGUUGUCCGGAAUUACUGGGCGUAAAGGGCGCGCAGGCUGUUAUGCGAGUCUGCUGUGAAAUGUACCGGCUCAACCGGUGCCUUGCGGCGGAUACUGCAUAGCUGGAGUACUGGAGAGGGAAGUGGAAUUCCCGGUGUAGCGGUGAAAUGCGUAGAUAUUAGGAGGAACACCAGUGGCGAAGGCGGCUUUCUGGACUGUAACUGACACUGAGGCACGAAAGCGUGGGGAGCAAACAGGAUUAGA